GGAGCAGAGCAUUCAAGAUGAGACACCGGGGAAAUAAGGAAACUCAAUGCUUCCCAUAAAUACUGGUUAUUGACAAGGGGAAAAAGGACACUGAAGACUCGCUCUUUCAGUCAUAAAUCCCACUGUGUCCAGAGGAAAAUGACACCAAAGUCGUCUCGGAUAUCGCAAGAUGGAUCAGAAGUGAAUACAAAAGUGAAAAGAGGGGGCACGAAAAAGCUUCAUAGAGAGACAGCAACGACAACCACCAAAGUCAACUAUAGAACAUAUAGAAGGAGCUCUGCUCCCUGGGGAACCCAGGAUAAGCAAGUUGCUACCAGGUACAGCCCUUGAAAACACACCCUAAGGAUAACAUUUUGGAAACUCUUGAUUUGGAAUUAGCCCUAAGGAGAUCCAGAAGAAAUGAAUAAAUUACAUG